CCUACGGGAGGCAGCAGUGAGGAAUAUUGGUCAAUGGGCGCUAGCCUGAACCAGCCAAGUCGCGUGAAGGAUGACGGUCCUAUGGGUUGUAAACCUCUUUUGUCAGGGAACAAAGUGCGGCACGUGUACCGCUUUGCAUGUACCUUAUGAAUAAGCAUCGGCUAACUCCGUGCCAGCAGCCGCGGUAAUACGGAGGAUCCGAGCGUUAUCCGGAUUUAUUGGGUUUAAGGGGUGCGCAGGCGGGAUGUAAAGUCAGCGGUAAAAUUUUGGGGCUCAACCUAGGCGUGCCGUUGAAACUGGCGGUCUUGAGUGAGCGAGAAGUAGGCGGAAUGCGUGGUGUAGCGGUGAAAUGCAUAGAUAUCACGAAGAACUCCGAUUGCGAAGGCAGCAUGCCGGAGUGUAACUGACGCUGAUGCACGAAAGCGUGGGUAUCGAACAGGAUUAGAUACCCGGGUAGUC
rnacentral:rRNA from 1 species